GUGGUAGGUCUUUGCAAUGGGGGAAGUGUUCAGUCCACCUGCCAAGACUGCGCCUCACAGCCGAAGGAAAAUGCCACAACAUUUUUCAACAGACUGGAGUCUUUUGUUCAAAAGGCCAUAGCAAGACUGAACAUGAUCCAAAAAUAAAGGGAAGAUCUUCUUGUGACCAAGGAUUAAAUGUAGAGAAGACACUACACUG